AUACGAAAGGUGCGAGCGUUGUUCGGAUUUACUGGGCGUAAAGAGAGUGUAGGUUGUUUAUUAAGUCGGAUGUGAAAUCCCGGGGCUCAACCUCGGAACUGCAUUCGAUACUGAUAGGCUAGAGUUUGGGAGGGGUAAGCGGAAUUCCGUGUGUAGCAGUGAAAUGCGUAGAUAUACGGAGGAACACCUGAGGCGAAGGCGGCUUACUGGACCAAUACUGACACUGAGACUCGAAAGCGUGGGUAGCAAACAGGAUUAGAUACCCUAGUAGUCC
rnacentral:rRNA from 1 species